rnacentral:lncRNA from 1 species
CUCUGUAGUGUAAACUGAUGGGUUCUGCCUGUUGGGAAGCUUUUCAAGCAGCCCACCCAGCUCCAUGCCACGGCCUUUCUAGCUGCUAAACAAGUUUCCUGAGCACCCACGAGGCCGAGCUCUAGAGAGAGGGCCUUCAGGGCAUGCACUCUGGCCCCAGAUGGAAUCUGAAUCCCAGCUCUGCAGUUUAUUAGCCUGUGUCAACCUAAAAGCAAAUUUAUCUGUUAUUUUAUCCUCAAAAACGAGUUUAUUAGGAAAUAGCCAAAAGAACUGCAAUUCGGGAUGAGCUUGCUAUGGCAAACUGUGGGCAAACCCAGAGAACAAAGGAGCGAGCUGCUUUUAUAGAGAAGGGGGUGGGGCGGACAGAGAGAGGCUGUUCUAGAGGAAAUUCCAUUGGGGGAGAGUAAGAGAUCAAGGGAGCAACGGCUUCUCAUUGGCUGAGCUGUGCAUUUCUCAUUGGCUGAGCUGCAGUGUUUCUCAUUGGCUAAGCUACAGCGUUUCUCAUUGGCUGAGCUGCAACAUUUCUCAUUGGCUGAGCUGUGGCAUUUCUCAUUGGCUGAGCUGCGGCAUUUCUCAUUGGCUGAGCUGCAGUGUUUCUCAUUGGCUGAGCUGUGGCACUUCUCAUUGGCUGAACUGCAGCACUUCUCAUUGGCUGAGCUGCAGUGUUUCUCAUUGGCUGAGCUGCAUCACUUCUCAUUGGCUGAGCUGCAGUGUUUCUCAUUGGCUGGGCUGCAGUGUUUCUCAUUGGCUGGGCUGCAGUGUUUCUCAUUGGCUGGGCUGUUGCCAGGUGGGGAGAGAAAUCUUCCUUCCCUACUGAAGUAGUCCUACUUCCUUCCAAGAUGCAAGUGUCUGACUUUUCCUGUUUGGUGCAAUUGACAAUGCGUGACGGAUGUGAGAGCCCCUGCAGGCCUUCCCAAUUCCAGUCUAGUUAAGGUUUCUUUAUUAAUUUCCACACCUGUGACCUUGGGCAAGCCCCGCUAUCCAUCUCCACCUAUGAAAUGGGGGUGAUGAUAAAAGUGCUUACCACCUGGGGUUGUUUAGAGGAUCCGCUGGUAUAUGGAAAGUUCUUACAACAGAUCCCGGCGCGCAGUAGGAGCUGUAAGAGUCAGCAGCUGACGUGUGGCACACACGUCUGGGGAUUGGGGACACGUCAAGGGGCAAAAUAAUCAGAAAUUUACCCUCACUGAGCUUGUAUUCUAGUGGGGAGACAGAUAAACAAAAUAAAUUGGUAGUUUAUAUUCUGUAACUGGUGUGUGAGUUCUAUGAAGAAAAAUAAGGCAGGGAGAGCUGGGAUGAGUGUGUCAGCAAGCCCCCGCUGUGAAGUUCUGUGAAGAUGUUGGGGGAAGAGGGCUGCAGGCAGAGGAGACAGCCUGUGCAAAGGUCCUGAGGUGAGAGAGUGCCUGGGGCCUUGGAGGACCGGUGAGGCGGGCAGCAUGGCCAUUGCUGAGUAAAUGUGGGAGAAAGUGGUGAGAGAGGGCAUGGCGAAUCUUAGGCCCUUGAAAUGACCUUGGCUUUUAUUCUGAGUGACCUGAGAAGCCCUUGGAAAGUUCUGAGCAGAGCAGUGACAUGACCUGACUCAUGUUUGUUUCUUUUUUAAAGUAUGCUUUCUUUGGUGAGGAAGAUUGGCCCUGAGCUAACAUCUGUUGCCAAUCUUCCUCUUUUUUUCCUUUUUUUUCUCCCCAAAGGCCCAGUACAUAGUUGUUUAUCCUAGUUGUAGGUGAUUCUAGCUCUUCUAUGUGGGACGCCACCACAGCAUGGCCUGAUGGGCAGUGCCAUGUCUGCACCCAGGAUCCAAACUGGGCAGCCGAAGCGGAGCACGCGAACUUAACCACUCAGCCAUGGGGGUCGGCCCCGCCCCGACUCAUGUUUUAACAGGACAAGUCUGGUUGUUGUGCUAAGAACAGGCUGGGGCGGUGAGGAAGAGGCAG